AAUGAACGUUGGCGGCGUGGAUUAGGCAUGCAAGUCGAGCGGAAAGGCCCGCAAGGGUACUCAAGCGGCGAAAGGGAGAGUAACACGUAGGUUACCUACCCUCCGACCCGGGAUAGCUGAGGGAAACUUCAGGUAAUACCGGAUAACGUCUCCGGACCAAAGGUGUGAUUCCGUCGGGGGAGGGGCCUGCGUCCUAUUAGCUUGUUGGGGAGGUAACGGCUCACCAAGGCAAAGAUGGGUACGGGGUGUGAGAGCAUGCCCCCGCUCACUGGGACUGGGACACUGCCCAGACACCUACGGGUGGCUGCAGUCGAGGAUCUUCGGCAAUGGGCGCAAGCCUGACCGAGCGACGCCGCGUGCGGGAUGAAGGCCUUCGGGUUGUAAACCGCUGUCAGGGGGGAGGAAAUGCUACGGGGUUCUCCCCGUAGUUUGACCUAGCCUCAGAGGAAGUACGGGCUAAGUUCGUGCCAGCCGCCGCGGUAAUAC
rnacentral:rRNA from 1 species